AGCAGGUCAGGGGCCUCACCGAAGCAGUGCAGGCCAUGCAGCAACAGCCGCAGGCAUCAGUGCGGCUGGAAAGAGCAUUGCUGGAGUUUCAAAAUCCGACGACAGGGCAGGCCACUUGGGCCAGUCACCCUGUCUUCUCCGAAAAGGGGAAGCAGAAGGUGGAGAGCCCUCCAUCUGAUCAGGAUUCCACCCCGGAGGGUCCCUACCUCCAUUUCACCAGAAGACCCUCGAGACUCGCAGUCGAGAGGAUCUCCUAGAUCAAAGAUUUCAGGAGAUGAAC
rnacentral:lncRNA from 1 species